rnacentral:rRNA from 1 species
UACGAAGGGUGCAAGCGUUACUCGGAAUUACUGGGCGUAAGCGUGCGUAGGUGGUGAGUUAAGUCUGUCGUGAAAGCCCCGGGCUCAACCUGGGAAUGGCGAUGGAUACUGGCUCGCUAGAGUGCGGUAGAGGAGAGUGGAAUUCCCGGUGUAGCAGUGAAAUGCGUAGAGAUCGGAGGAACAUCAGUUGCGAAGGCGGCUCUCUGGACCAGCACUGACACUGAGGCGCGAAAGCGUGGGAGCAAACAGG